rnacentral:tRNA from 1 species
GGGCCUGUAGCUCAGUUGGCAGAGCAGUUGACUCUUAAUCAAUUGGUCGAGUGUUCGAGUCACUCCAGGCCCACCA